rnacentral:rRNA from 1 species
GCCGCGGUAAUACGAAGGGUGCAAGCGUUGUUCGGAAUCAUUGGGCGUAAAGCGAGCGCAGGCGGCUCAGUAAGUCGGAUGUGAAAACUCGGGGCUCAACCCCGAGACGCCAUCCGAUACUGCUGUGGCUUGAGUCUGGUAGGGGAACACGGAAUUCCUGGUGUAGCGGUGAAAUGCGCAGAUAUCAGGAGGAACACCGAUGGCGAAGGCAGUGUUCUGGGCCAGUACUGACGCUGAGGAGCGAAAGCGUGGGUAGCAAACA